rnacentral:rRNA from 1 species
AUUGAACGCUGGCGGCAGGCCUAACACAUGCAAGUCGAACGGUAACAGGAAGCAGCUUGCUGCUUUGCUGACGAGAGGCGGACGGGUGAGUAAUGUCUGGGAAACCGCCUGAUGGAGGGGGAUAACUACUGGAAACGGUAGCUAAUACCGCAUAACGUCGCAAGACCAAAGAGGGGGACCUUCGGGCCUCUUGCCAUCGGAUGUGCCCAGAUGGGAUUAGCUAGUAGGUGGGGUAACGGCUCACCUAGGCGACGAUCCCUAGCUGGUCUGAGAGGAUGACCAGCCACACUGGAACUGAGACACGGUCCAGACUCCUACGGGAGGCAGCAGUGGGGAAUAUUGCACAAUGGGCGCAAGCCUGAUGCAGCCAUGCCGCGUGUAUGAAGAAGGCCUUCGGGUUGUAAAGUACUUUCAGCGGGGAGGAAGGGAGUAAAGUUAAUACCUUUGCUCAUUGACGUUACCCGCAGAAGAAGCACCGGCUAACUCCGUG